AUAAGGGCGAAAGUAACAUGAGAGAGUUCUCUUCAUCGACUCUCUCUUCUUCAAAUUAAAGUGACAAGAUGCAAGUAUGAUUGCACUUUAUGGUCAUAAAUCGCUAGGUUGCGAUGCAAUCUAGCGUCUAAGUGUAAAAAAGUUCGAUUGAAUUUGCAUCUUGUCACUUUAAUUUGCAGAAGAGAGAGUCGAUGAAGAGAACUCUCUCAUGUUACUUUCGCCCUUAUUUAAACUCAAUCUAGACAUAUGCUACUGAAAACAGUCUAAAAUUACAACUAUAUUACUUUCAGUAUAUUCAUAAGAUAUCACUCAGCUGAGCACUUCAAUCUAUGGUCUAUGAGGACUUUCACAGUUAUUAACUGAGAACUUAGGUCAGACUGUAUCACUGUAUCUCGUUUUACGCUAAUCUACACUCUGAAAAAUCCACAUGUCAAGGCUACGUGGAAAAUCACGUAGCGUCUGAAAAGUGUUCAUUUGCCUGAAUUUAUCUGAUGAAGGUGACUAUUAUCUAGCCAGAGAUAAAUAUGAUAUGAUGUUCCAGUUGCCUUUAUGCAGCUUCUCAGUAUCUCUCACUUGGAAAUUACGUAGCCACCUGAGUUCAUUGUGACAACUUCAUUCCGUGUUCAUUGUUGUGAUGCCGCUAUCAUUUUGUGUGCAUGUCAUCGCCAAGAUGGCGUAAUUUGAAAACAAACCUCGACUCCUGAUUUUUUUUUUCGAUAUCACCCGACAUUUUUGUCAAAGGAAUUGUUAUUGUUUAGGCACCGCUGAACGGGUGCCGUCGAUGAAAACUGCAAGCUGCUAACAGAAAUGAUCCGAAGAAGAAUAGCAGCAUUCUGUUUCGGCAGCACACUACAUGCACCAACAUCGCCAAAUAAGGCAUACGCAGCAGUAGCAAUUAUUUUCAAAGUGCGAACUGUUAAAUACUUGCGACGACCAUAAUGUGCCAAGACUUAGUGCCAGAUUUAGUGUAAAUAAACAGAAAUUUGACCGAA